rnacentral:misc_RNA from 1 species
CUGAAAUGAAACUUCUUAGACCUUCAAGGCAAAGAAGAUUUCCCAGAAAAAGAAAAUGAAGGGGGAAAAUCAAAAUCUCUCGUCUGUAAAGAAAAGUAGAAGGAUAGCCAUCUGCAUAAAUCAUUGGAAAGAAGUUCUCUCUCUUUUUUAUGCACACACAUGUGAGAAAAUCAUGAAAAAAUUAAUUUAUACCAAGGUCCUUUUUCGAUUUAAUUGAAUUUAAAAACAUUUCUUCCCUGUGUGUGCAUAAAUCAUUGGAAAGAAGUUCUCUCUCUUUUUUAUGCACACACAUGUGAGAAAAUCAUGAAAAAAUUAAUUUAUACCAAGGUCCUUUUUCGAUUUAAUUGAAUUUAAAAACAUUUCUUCCCUGUG